UAGGGAAUAUUGGACAAUGGGGGCAACCCUGAUCCAGCCAUGCCGCGUGAGUGAAGAAGGCCCUCGGGUUGUAAAGCUCUUUUGUCCGGAAAGAAAAGCAUUCGGUGAAUACCCGGAUGUUCUGACGGUACCGGAAGAAUAAGCACCGGCUAACUUCGUGCCAGCAGCCGCGGUAAUACGAAGGGUGCAAGCGUUACUCGGAAUUACUGGGCGUAAAGCGUGCGUAGGUGGUUGUUUAAGUCUGAUGUGAAAGCCCUGGGCUCAACCUGGGAAUGGCAUUGGAAACUGGGCAGCUAGAGUGAGGUAGAGGGUAGUGGAAUUCCCGGUGUAGCAGUGAAAUGCGUAGAGAUCGGGAGGAACAUCUGUGGCGAAGGCGACUGCCUGGACCAGCACUGACACUGAGGCACGAAAGCGUGGGGAGCAAACA
rnacentral:rRNA from 1 species